rnacentral:rRNA from 1 species
UGGGGGAUAUUGCACAAUGGGCGAAAGCAUGAUGCAGCGACGCCGCGUGGGGGAUGAAGGCCUUCGGGUUGUAAACUUCUUUUGCUCUGAACAAGGCAUGCUAAUGGGUGUGUUGAGUGUAGGGGUUGAUUAGCGCCGGCUAACUACGUGCCAGCAGCCGCGGUAAUACGUAGGGCGCGAGCGUUGUCCGGAAUUAUUGGGCGUAAAGGGCUUGUAGGUGGCUGGUUGCGUCUGUCGUGAAAGCUCAUGGCUUAACUGUGGGUUUGCGGUGGGUACUGGCUGGCUUUAGUGCAGUAGGGGAGGCUGGACUUCCUGGUGUAGCGGUGGAAUGCGCAGAUAUCAGGAGGAAUACCGGUGGCGAAGGCGGGUCGCUGGGCUGUUACUGACACUGAGGAGCGAAAGCAUGGGGAGCGAACAGG